UGGCUUAAGCUCUCAUCUCCCUGUCAUGUGUUGGGAACCCAGGGCCUACUAAAGAAGUGAUUAGUGAACCUGAGCAGGAUAGGCAGCCUGAGCCAGCCCUCCACCCUUCAGCUGCGACAGGGCCUUGCGGAUGGUGUUCAGCUCCUGGAUCGUGGCUCCUCGGGCUGCCAGCAGCUUGGAGCCAAAUUCCCAACUCUAUUUAAGACACUACACCUUCCCAGCUCCAGUGCACCCGCGUUGGUAAGUGAGGAUAGGCGAAGACCAGGCUCGACUCCGCCCGGAACCAAAGCGGAGCUGACAUCAAGUCCGGAAUUGGCCAACCGCCAGGUGACCGGAAGUGACGUCUCCUGAGACUGUGCCUGUGAUCUUCUCGAGGGAAAUGUUGCCGUGUAGUGCAAGAUGUCGCAAGAUUAAGGGGUUGCUGUCGCCUGGAUCGGUCUCUGUCCGGGCCAGGAACGACUUCCAAGGACCAUUUAUUUGCUUGAGACGCAAACUCACCUUCCCGCAGCUUCUGGCGCUGGAGACCGGAAGUAUUCUGUGGGUGGGGAUUAAUCCGGAAGUGGCUGGUCUGAGAUCUCCCUAGAGACAGAGAGCCUGGUUUAG
rnacentral:lncRNA from 1 species